UGAGGAAUCUUGCGCAAUGGGGGAAACCCUGACGCAGCAACGCCGCGUGAGUGAGGAAGGCCUUCGGGUCGUAAAGCUCUGUCAGAUGGGAAGAAAUGGGUGGGGGCUAAUAUCGUCCACCCUUGACGGUACCAUCAGAGGAAGCACCGGCUAACUCCGUGCCAGCAGCCGCGGUAAUACGGGGAGUGCAAGCGUUGUUCGGAAUCAUUGGGCGUAAAGCGCGCGCAGGCGGCUUGGUAAGUCAGAUGUGAAAUCCCUGGGCUUAACCCAGGAAGUGCAUUUGAUACUGCCUCGCUAGAGUACGGGAGAGGAAAGUGGAAUUCCUGGUGUAGAGGUGAAAUUCGUAGAUAUCAGGAGGGACACCGGUGGCGAAGGCGACUUUCUGGCCCGAUACUGACGCUCAGGCGCGAAAGCGUGGGGAGCAAACAG
rnacentral:rRNA from 1 species